AUGGCGCUCCUGCGGCAGGAGACAGAUAGAUGGAAAAAAGGAAGGAAGGGAUGGCGGCAAGGCGACCUGGUCGAAGGUCCGGUGUUCGCCGGCGGAGGCGCGAACAUGGGGACGGGCCAGCUUCGAUCCUCUCCCUCACCACCAUCUAGUGGAGCUCGUGGCACACUCUUGCUGCUACUGGGUGAUGAAGAAGACAACCUCCGCUCGCCACUGGCGACGGCAAGGCUGCCGUCCAGUUCUGCAAUGUCACUUCUGUUGCAAAAAACAAAUGUACAACAAGAACUUGGUUGCAAAAACAAAUCCUAA
rnacentral:rRNA from 1 species